GCUACCUCGCUGUAGCUCAGUUGGUUAGAGCGCCCGACCACCGAGAUGCGGGAGGUCGUGGGUUCAAUUUCCCAUCAGUGGCU